rnacentral:rRNA from 1 species
AUGCAGUCGAGCGGAAGGCCCUUCGGGGUACUCGAGCGGCGAACGGGUGAGUAACACGUGAGCAACCUGCCCUAGGCUUUGGGAUAACCCCGGGAAACCGGGGCUAAUACCGUAAUAGGACCUCUGACCGCAUGGUUGGUGGUGGAAAGUUUUUCGGCCUGGGAUGGGCUCGCGGCCUAUCAGCUUGUUGGUGGGGUGAUGGCCUACCAAGGCGACGACGGGUAGCCGGCCUGAGAGGGCGACCGGCCACACUGGGACUGAGACACGGCCCAGACUCCUACGGGAGGCAGCAGUGGGGAAUAUUGCACAAUGGGCGGAAGCCUGAUGCAGCGACGCCGCGUGAGGGAUGACGGCCUUCGGGUUGUAAACCUCUUUCAGCAGGGACGAAGCGUAAGUGACGGUACCUGCAGAAGAAGCGCCGGCCAACUACGUGCCAGCAGCCGCGGUAAGACGUAGGGCGCGAGCGUUGUCCGGAUUUAUUGGGCGUAAAGAGCUCGUAGGCGGCUUGUCGCGUCGACUGUGAAAACCCGCAGCUCAACUGCGGGCCUGCAGUCGAUACGGGCAGGCUAGAGUUCGGUAGGGGAGACUGGAAUUCCUGGUGUAGCGGUGAAAUGCGCAGAUAUCAGGAGGAACACCGGUGGCGAAGGCGGGUCUCUGGGCCGAUACUGACGCUGAGGAGCGAAAGCGUGGGGAGCGAACAGGAUUAGAUACCCUGGUAGUCCACGCUGUAAACGUUGGGCGCUAGGUGUGGGGGGCCUCUCCGGUUCCCUGUGCCGCAGCUAACGCAUUAAGCGCCCCGCCUGGGGAGUACGGCCGCAA